AUUGAACGCUGGCGGCAUGCCUCACACAUGCAAGUCGAACGGCAGCGGACCUUCGGGUGCCGGCGAGUGGCGAACGGGUGAGUAAUAUAUCGGAACGUACCUUUCAGUGGGGGAUAACGUAGCGAAAGUUACGCUAAUACCGCAUAUUCUGUGAGCAGGAAAGCAGGGGAUCGCAAGACCUUGCGCUGAUUGAGCGGCCGAUAUCAGAUUAGCUAGUUGGUGAGGUAAAGGCUCACCAAGGCGACGAUCUGUAGCGGGUCUGAGAGGAUGAUCCGCCACACUGGAACUGAGACACGGUCCAGACUCCUACGGGAGGCAGCAGUGGGGAAUUUUGGACAAUGGGCGCAAGCCUGAUCCAGCCAUGCCGCGUGAGUGAAGAAGGCCUCGG
rnacentral:rRNA from 1 species